UUCCGACCACGGCGGCGACGGCGAGGAGACGUCCAACGGCGGGCAACGACGACUUGAAGAUGCUCCGCUCCCCGGCCGGCAUGCCCUCUCCUCCGUCCGCUGGAACUGGAACUGGAAGCAAGCGCCACUCACCUCAACAGCUGUCUGUCUUCUCCACUGCCGGCGCUCCUCUGCUCUGCUCUCCACUGCCCGCCCCUGCUGCCCUUCACCUCCGCCUUUCCGUCCGGGAACGCAGCCCCCUCUGCCUUCCGCGGUCGACGCAACUCGGGUCAUCUCGCCCUCUCACCACGGCGACGGUGGCUCCCGCCCGGAUCUGAACCGGACACCAGCAGCUAGGUAGGCGGCACCGGCAGAAGGCAGGCAGGCAGCAUCCAUCACCGGCACGGCAGACCUCCGACGCACAGCAGCAGGUACCCAUCCCUGGCCUGCUGUGCUGUGCUGUGCUGUGCUGCAACUCAAUCCCCCAUUUACAGCAGCUAGGUACCAGGCAGAGGGAUCCGUCACCGGCAGGAAGGAAGGCAGGCAGGCGGCACCCCAUCACCGGCGUGCUUGCGCUAACGUGUUGCACAAUCGUUCAUCCCUGUGUCCGGCCAGGGGAUGGCUGAGGCUGCCCUCGGCAUGGCACAAUGGGUGGUGGAGAAGGCGCUAGGCCCCGUUGGAAAAUGUUCAGGGUGUUUGAAAAUGUUUAGAAUUUUUAAAAAGUUUUUGUACUCUCUCUGUCUUGAAUUACUUGUCACAGAAAUAGAUAAAAAUGGAUGUAUCUAGAACAAAAAUACGUUUAGAUACAUCCAUUUUUGCGAAAGUAAUUCCGGACGGAGGAAGUAUGUACAUAAUGCUAAU